rnacentral:rRNA from 1 species
UAGAGUCUUGUAGAGGGGGGGUAGAAUUCCCAGGUGUAGCGGUGAACAUGCGUAGAGAUCUGGAGGAAUACCCGGUGGCGAAGGCGGCCCCCCUGGACAAAGACUGACGCUCAGGUGCGAAAGCGUGGGGAGCAAAACAGGAUUAGAUACCCCUGGUAGUCCACGCCGUAAACGAUGUCGACUUGGAGGUUGUGCCCUUGAGGCGUGGCUUCCGGAGCUAAACGCGUUAAGUCGACCGCCUGGGGAGUACGGCCGCAAGGUUAAAACUCAAAUGAAUUGACGGGGGCCCGCACAAGCGGUGGAGCAUGUGGUUUAAUUCGAUGCAACGCGAAGAACCUUACCUACUCUUGACAUCCAGAGAACUUUGCAGAGAUGGAUUGGUGCCUUCGGGAACUCUGAGACAGGUGCUGCAUGGCUGUCGUCAGCUCGUGUUGUGAAAUGUUGGGUUAAGUCCCGCAACGAGCGCAACCCUUAUCCUUUGUUGCCAGCGGUUAGGCCGGGAACUCAAAGGAGACUGCCAGUGAUAAACUGGAGGAAGGUGGGGAUGACGUCAAGUCAUCAUGGCCCUUACGAGUAGGGCUACACACGUGCUACAAUGGCGCAUACAAAGAGAAGCGACCUCGCGAGAGCAAGCGGACCUCAUAAAGUGCGUCGUAGUCCGGAUUGGAGUCUGCAACUCGACUCCAUGAAGUCGGAAUCGCUAGUAAUAGUGGAUCAGAAUGCCACGGUGAAUACGUUCCCGGCCCUUGUUCACACCGCCCGUCACACCAUGGGAGUGGGUUGCAAAUUUAUUGUAGGUAGCUUAAACCCUCCGGAGG